rnacentral:ncRNA from 1 species
AGGAGCCGUGUGAGGGAAAUCCUCACGCACGGUUCUGUGAGGGGGCUCAUAGUGGCUCUACAGGAAAAUAAUCCUGAAGGGGGGUGGCUAUGAGCCCUACUCGAC